UACGUAGGGGGCUAGCGUUGUCCGGAAUCAUUGGGCGUAAAGAGCGUGUAGGCGGUCCGGUAAGUCCGUUGUGAAAGUCAGGGGCUCAACCCUUGAAUGCCGGCGGAUACUGUCGGGCUGGAGUCCGGAAGAGGCAAGUGGAAUUCCCGGUGUAGCGGUGAAAUGCGCAGAUAUCAGGAAGAACACCCGUGGCGAAGGCGGCUCUCUGGGACGGUACUGACGCUGAGACGCGAAAGCGUGGGGAGCGAACAGG
rnacentral:rRNA from 1 species